GCUUUAUAUUGUUAUUGGUUUUAUUUAUGUGGGUGUAAUUAAAUGAAAUUAAUAGUAGUAUUUUGUUGGGGUGACAGGAAGAUAUAAAAAACUCUUUUUAGAAUUUAAAUCAUUGAUGUAUGAAUUAUUGAUCCGUUAUUAAUGAUUAUAAGACUAAGU
rnacentral:rRNA from 1 species